rnacentral:rRNA from 1 species
GACGAGCGCUGGCGGCGUGCCUAAUACAUGCAAGUCGAACGCACUCUCGUUUAGAUUGCAGGAGUUUGCUCCUGAUUGAUAAACAUUUGAGUGAGUGGCGGACGGGUGAGUAACACGUGGGUAACCUGCCCUAAAGUGGGGGAUAACAUUUGGAAACAGAUGCUAAUACCGCAUAAAACCUAACACCGCAUGGUGUAGGGUUGAAAGAUGGUUUCGGCUAUCACUUUAGGAUGGACCCGCGGUGCAUUAGUUAGUUGGUGAGGUAAAGGCUCACCAAGACCGUGAUGCAUAGCCGACCUGAGAGGGUAAUCGGCCACACUGGGACUGAGACACGGCCCAGACUCCUACGGGAGGCAGCAGUAGGGAAUCUUCCACAAUGGACGAAAGUCUGAUGGAGCAACGCCGCGUGAGUGAAGAAGGUUUUCGGAUCGUAAAACUCUGUUGUUGGAGAAGAAUGUAUCUGAUAGUAACUGAUCAGGUAGUGACGGUAUCCAACCAGAAAGCCACGGCUAACUACGUG